GUGAGUAACGCGUGGGAACGUACCUUUUGCUACGGAAUAACUCAGGGAAACUUGUGCUAAUACCGUAUGUGCCCUUCGGGGGAAAGAUUUAUCGGCAAAGGAUCGGCCCGCGUUGGAUUAGCUAGUUGGUGAGGUAAAGGCUCACCAAGGCGACGAUCCAUAGCUGGUCUGAGAGGAUGAUCAGCCACACUGGGACUGAGACACGGCCCAGACUCCUACGGGAGGCAGCAGUGGGGAAUAUUGGACAAUGGGCGCAAGCCUGAUCCAGCCAUGCCGCGUGAGUGAUGAAGGCCCUAGGGUUGUAAAGCUCUUUCACCGGUGAAGAUAAUGACGGUAACCGGAGAAGAAGCCCCGGCUAACUUCGUGCCAGCAGCCGCGGUAAUACGAAGGGGGCUAGCGUUGUUCGGAUUUACUGGGCGUAAAGCGCACGUAGGCGGACUUUUAAGUCAGGGGUGAAAUCCCGGGGCUCAACCCCGGAACUGCCUUUGAUACUGGAAGUCUUGAGUAUGGUAGAGGUGAGUGGAAUUCCGAGUGUAGAGGGGAAAUUCGU
rnacentral:rRNA from 2 species